GACGAACCGUGCGAACGUUGUUCGGAAUCACUGGGCUUAAAGGGCGCGUAGGCGGGUGUGCAAGUCUGCGGUGAAAGCCUCCAGCUUAACUGGAGAAGUGCCGUGGAUACUGUCGAGCUCGAGUCCGGAAGAGGCGAGUGGAAUUCCUGGUGUAGCGGUGAAAUGCGCAGAUAUCAGGAGGAACACCGGUGGCGAAGGCGGUUCUCUGGGCCUGUACUGACGUGGAGGAACGAAAAGCGUGGGGAGCGAAACAGG
rnacentral:rRNA from 1 species